GAUGAACGCUGGCGGCGUGCCUAACACAUGCAAGUCGAACGGAGAUUACGGACGGAAGUUUUCGGAUGGAAGCCUGUAAUUCUUAGUGGCGGACGGGUGAGUAACGCGUGGGCAACCUGCCCUAUACAGGGGGAUAGCAGCUGGAAACGGCUGGUAAGACCGCAUAAGUCGGUUAAAUCGCAUGAUUUGAUCGGGAAAUGAGCAAUCAGGUAUAGGAUGGGCCCGCGUCCGAUUAGCCAGUUGGCAGGGUAAAAGCCUACCAAAGCGACGAUCGGUAGCCGGACUGAGAGGUCGGACGGCCACAUUGGGACUGAGGCACGGCCCAAACUCCUACGGGAGGCAGCAGUGGGGGAUAUUGCACAAUGGAGGAAACUCUGAUGCAGCGACGCCGCGUGAGUGAAGAAGUAUUUCGGUAUGUAAAGCUCUAUCAGCAGGGAAGAUGAUGACGGUACCUGACUAAGAAGCCCCGGCUAACUACGUG
rnacentral:rRNA from 1 species